UUCCUUCCCCUGGUUCUGCGCUCCCGAGCCCCACGGGGGUUGUUUUGAUGUUGUUUUGAGGUGUCUUUGUCCCCCGCCGCUCCCGGCCCGGGUGUCGGCUGUGGAGUCAGCACAUGGCAGGGGCAAGUGGGAACUGCUCUCACUGGAGAGAAGGGAGCACACGAGGAGAUCUGAGCUCGGCACAUCAGAGCAGUUCAGUUCUCUGCCCUGAGCACCCAGGACAAAUUUAUCCCCAGCAUAACUUCGGGGACGUUCCCACCGGAGGGUAUUACCAGGAAUUUUUGGAAGGCUCAUCCCACCUGGAGGCCAGUGCUCUGGCUGUGUGUGAACUCCUCCUGGACGCUGAGAUCUCUGUCUGGAAGUGGCUGCAUGGGCUGCAAGGAAAGCAGAAGCCAUGGAAAUGAGAUUUAAACCACUCUGGGCACAUUCACACCCACUGGAGGGAGCAGCAAGUGCCAGGGGCUGAGGAAAAGCCCAGUGCUCUUCCCUGGGCUGGAGGAACACGGUCCCACAGCAGGGCUGAGCUGCAGUGACCCUGGCACAGGCACUGCUGGUGUCCCUGUGGGACAGGGAGAGGCUCUGGGCAGUGCCAGGGCACGGGAAGGAGAGAGGGAGCCCACGGGAGCCUGGCACAGCCAGCCCCAGCUCAGGGCUCCUGCAGCUCCUUGAACACCUCAGCCACCUUCCCAUGCAUCUCCUGCCACCCAAAGGUCUCUUGACUCCGAAUUGGCUCAGUCCUGUUUUGCCAGGAAGUUUUGAAGCACCACUGUGGUGGAAAAGCCCUCUGCCCUCACCAGUCCAACCCCAGCCAGUGCACCACCAAACCAUCCCUGCACGCCUCCCAAACAGCUCAGGAAUCUGGGGAGAAAAGCUCUAUUUCCUGUGUGAUCCUUCUCAGGUUUCUAGCACGCAGCACAUACAACCACAAAAUUUCUGGGUUUAAUAUUCUGAAUAUUUUAAAUCCCGGAAAUGUAAAAUGUUAUAAAUUAGUUUCCUCAUUAAAUUAAAAAAAAAAUUUAAAACCUUUUAUCUUUUAAAGGUUUUCAAUUUCCCUGACUCAGACCAUUUCCUAGUGGGUUCUGCAUAAUGAAUAUUAGCAGAGGUUGGCUUACCACAGUGUCUGGUGAGACUCAUUUAUCAAAGCCCAGGAUGUGCGCCGUGCA